UACGGAGGGGACUAGCGUUGUUCGGAAUUACUGGGCGUAAAGCGCACGUAGGCGGAUUGUAAGUCAGGGGUGAAAUCCCGGGGCUCAACCUCGGAACUGCCUUUGAUACUGCAAAUCUCGAGUCCGGAAGAGGUGAGUGGAAUUCCUAGUGUAGAGGUGAAAUUCGUAGAUAUUAGGAAGAACACCAGUGGCGAAGGCGGCUCACUGGUCCGGUACUGACGCUGAGGUGCGAA
rnacentral:rRNA from 1 species